rnacentral:rRNA from 1 species
UUGGGAAUCUUGCACAAUGGGCGAAAGCCUGAUGCAGCAACGCCGCGUGGAGGAUGAAGGUCUUAGGAUCGUAAACUCCUUUUGCUGAGGAGCACCACCGAGAGUACUCAGCGAAUAAGCACCGGCUAACUCCGUGCCAGCAGCCGCGGUAAUACGGAGGGUGCAAACGUUAUCCGGAAUCAUUGGGCGUAAAGCGUGUGUAGGUGGUUUGGUCAGUCUACGAUGAAAUCCCAGGGCUUAACCCUGGACCCGUUGUAGAUACUGCCAGACUUGAGGGUAGCAGGGGUACGUGGAACUUUGAGUGUAGGAGUGAAAUCCGUAGAUAUUCAAAGGAACACCAAUGGCGAAGGCAGCGUACUGGGCUACACCUGACACUGAGACACGAAAGCGUGGGGAGCAA